UGCCAGCCGCCGCGGUAAUACGUAGGUGGCAAGCGUUGUCCGGAUUUAUUGGGUUUAAAGGGUGCGUAGGCGGUCCUAUAAGUCAGUGCUGAAAUAUCCCGGCUUAACCGGGAGGGUGGCAUUGAUACUGCAGGACUUGAGUAAAGUUGAGGUAGGCGGAAUUGACGGUGUAGCGGUGAAAUGCUUAGAUAUCGUCAAGAACACCGAUAGUGUAGACAGCUUACUAAGCUUUAACUGACGCUGAGGCACGAAAGUGUGGGGAUCAAACAGGAUUAGAUA
rnacentral:rRNA from 1 species